GCUGCUGAAGCAGUUUCAAGCGUUGGUUAAGCAAAUGGAAGGGGUGGAAACGAUGGUGUCUAGGUUGGAUCAGAUUGAUUCACAGCUGAAACACCAUGGGGAUUGUCUAGAAGCAGUGCAGAGUAAAGUGGAUUUGUCCAUGACUUCCCUGGGGCAAGUGCAAGCAGAACAACUUCAAGUGGCGUAGGCUUUGCAGAAAGCUACACUGGGGUCAGGACCUCAUC
rnacentral:lncRNA from 1 species